rnacentral:rRNA from 1 species
GACGUAGGGGACGAGCGUUGUCCGGAUUCAUUGGGCGUAAAGCGCGCGUAGGCGGUUCGGUAAGUCGGGUGUGAAAACACGAGGCUCAACCUCGUGCGUGCAUCCGAUACUGCCGGACUAGAGUUCGGAAGAGGCGAGUGGAAUUCCCGGUGUAGCGGUGAAAUGCGCAGAUAUCGGGAGGAACACCAAUGGCGAAGGCAGCUCGCUGGGACGUUACUGACGCUGAGACGCGAAAGCGUGGGGAGCGAACAGG